AGUGAACGCUGGCGGUAGACCUAACACAUGCAAGUCGAACGGCAGCACAGUAAGAGCUUGCUCUUACGGGUGGCGAGUGGCGGACGGGUGAGGAAUACAUCGGAAUCUACUUUUUCGUGGGGGAUAACGUAGGGAAACUUACGCUAAUACCGCAUACGACCUACGGGUGAAAGCAGGGGAUCUUCGGACCUUGCGCGAUUGAAUGAGCCGAUGUCGGAUUAGCUAGUUGGCGGGGUAAAGGCCCACCAAGGCGACGAUCCGUAGCUGGUCUGAGAGGAUGAUCAGCCACACUGGAACUGAGACACGGUCCAGACUCCUACGGGAGGCAGCAGUGGGGAAUAUUGGACAAAGGGCGCAAGCCUGAUCCAGCCAUACCGCGUGGGUGAAGAAGGCCUUCAGGUUGUAAAGCCCUUUUGUUGGGAAAGAAAAGCAGCAGGUUAAUACCCCGCUGUUCUGACGGUACCCAAAGAAUAAGCACCGGCUAACUUCGUG
rnacentral:rRNA from 1 species